rnacentral:lncRNA from 1 species
AAAGAAAAGCAUCAACACAAGCAUACUGAACCUGGUCACAAGUAAGCCACUGAUUGUCCCAUCUGCUCAUGGUGAUCCUAUUGGGCUUCUGAACCUCCUUCCCCAGCAUCCGCCUGGCCAAUCCCUUCAACCCAGCAUUCCUCAGCUCCGUCGAAUCAAAUCUACCCGCUGCGAAAACCGCAAGAUCAACCGCAUUGGCCACGUGCAGCCCGUAGUCAAGGAGGAGCUUCUCCACGUCGCUGCCGAUGCCUACGCCGACGAAUGUGUAGCUGCGAUUAGCGAGGAAGGCGUGGAGGGCCUGGGGAAUGUGAUCGGUGUGGAGGAGCUGGUAGAUCAGGC